rnacentral:snRNA from 1 species
GGAUAUAAGGGUGAUCGGGCUGGCCAGGUGGGUGUCCCCUUCCUCCCUCAUCACUCACGUGUGUCCCUCCUGAAGCUGCGCGCUUGGUCGAAGAGGACUGUCCUUGGGUCAAGGGUGUAUGAGUAGCUGCACUGUUCUGCUGGAACGUCCAAACAAGCUCUCAAGAAAGCCAAUAGUUGGGGCAAGUUACAAAAAAAUCUUUAAAAGCAUUUGGCCAGAGGGGCGCCUGGGUGGCUCAGU